UUCUUAUCCAGAGUGGUGGAGGGACUGGCCCGAUGAAGCCCGGCAACCCCGCAAAACGUGGGAGGGUGCCAAUUCCGGAAGAACUCAUGGUUCUUCAAGAUGAGAA
rnacentral:ncRNA from 2 species